rnacentral:rRNA from 1 species
CAGCCGCCGCGGUAAUACGAAGGGUGCAAGCGUUAAUCGGAAUUACUGGGCGUAAAGCGUGCGCAGGCGGUUUUGUAAGACAGGCGUGAAAUCCCCGGGCUCAACCUGGGAAUGGCGCUUGUGACUGCAAAGCUAGAGUGCGGCAGAGGGGGAUGGAAUUCCGCGUGUAGCAGUGAAAUGCGUAGAUAUGCGGAGGAACACCGAUGGCGAAGGCAAUCCCCUGGGCCUGCACUGACGCUCAUGCACGAAAGCGUGGGGAGCAAACAGGAUUAGAUACCCCAGUAGUCCCUGUCUCUUAUAC